AACGAACGCUGGCGGCGUGCCUAACACAUGCAAGUCGAACGGAAUUAGAGAGCUUGCUCUUUGAUUUAGUGGCGCACGGGUGAGUAACGCGUAGAUAAUCUGCCUGACGAUCCGGGAUAACACUUCGAAAGAGGUGCUAAUACCGGAUAAGCCCACGGGUUCUUUGGAAUCUGCGGGAAAAGGGGGGGACCUUCGGGCCUUCUGUCGUCAGAUGAGUCUGCGUACCAUUAGCUAGUUGGUAGGGUAAAGGCCUACCAAGGCGACGAUGGUUAGCUGGUCUGAGAGGAUGCUCAGCCACACUGGAACUGAGACACGGUCCAGACUCCUACGGGAGGCAGCAGUGGGGAAUUUUGCGCAAUAGGCGAAAGCCUGACGCAGCAACGCCGCGUGAGUGAUGAAGGCUUUCGGGUCGUAAAGCUCUGUCAAUGGGAAAGAAGUGUAUUUUGGCUAAUAUCCUUAAUACUUGACGGUACCCAUAAAGGAAGCACCGGCUAACUCCGUGCCAGCAGCCGCCGUAACAC
rnacentral:rRNA from 1 species